GGCCGCAUCAGGGUUGUGUUUGACCUUGGGGGGAUGGGGUGGGUGUGGACAGCUCGACCUCACUUGUGUUGGGGUGCCUGUGGCGGCCUGAAUGCUCUGUCAGCAAAAAAGGUCUCCCGAGCUCCGUUUCUGGCUGUGAUGGUUUCCUGCAACCUUCUGCCAGCAAAAAUGGAG